rnacentral:rRNA from 1 species
GAUGAACGCUAGCUACAGGCUUAACACAUGCAAGUCGAGGGGUCUCAACGGAGCUUGCUUCAGCGAGACGACCGGCGCACGGGUGCGUAACGCGUAUCCAACCUUCCCGUUACUCAUGGAUAGCCUUCCGAAAGGGAGAUUAAUACAUGAUGGUGUUGAAAUUCCGCAUGUUAUUCAACUAAAGAUUUAUCGGUAACGGAUGGGGAUGCGUUCCAUUAGCUUGUUGCGGGGUAACGGCCCACCAAGGCUUCGAUGGAUAGGGGGUUCUGAGAGGAAGGUCCCCCACACUGGAACUGAGACACGGUCCAGACUCCUACGGGAGGCAGCAGUGAGGAAUAUUGGUCAAUGGUCGGAAGACUGAACCAGCCAAGUAGCGUGAAGGAUGAAGGUUCUAUGGAUUGUAAACUUCUUUUGUAUGGGAAUAAAGCCCGCUACGUGUAGCGGUUUGUAUGUACCAUACGAAUAAGCAUCGGCUAACUCCGUG